UCCCGGUGUCCUCCAGCGGUAAGUAGGGUAAGAUGCACGAAAAAAAACUGCACGAACUUAACCAACUUCGGGUAUUUUUUUCCUUUCCAGGCUCUCUUCUGUCCACCAGGCAACGGGUCGGUUGCUAACUGGCUUGAGGACUCUCCUCAGCCAGUGCCAGACCUUACCCCCUUGAGAGCUCCGGCUUCCCUCUGUCAGCUAAGUUUAGAUACAACCAUAGAACAACAAAACAAACUUCAUCUUAUCUAACUUUGGGUAUUUUUUCUUUCCAGGCUCUAUUUUGUCCACCAGACAACGGGCCGGUUGCUAACUCGCUUGAGG
rnacentral:lncRNA from 1 species